rnacentral:lncRNA from 1 species
AAAAAUUUAAAUAAAUAGUAUGUAAAACAAUUUAAAAUAAAUGAUAAAUAAAAAAACUUAAAACAAAUAAUAAUAAAAGAGUUUUUUAAAUAAAAAAUAGUGAACAAAUAAAUUAAAUGGACUAAGGAUGAUACUAAAAUCGACCCAGAAUUUGGGGUUUAAAUUACAAAUAAAAAAAAGGGUUGCUAGGGACUGAAAUAGAGCGCGCUUAAGGAAUGAGGGACCGACUGGGCAAUAUUCCUAGCCCCUAUGCGCAGCGUUUCAGCUCGGACCAAAGUAAAACAAUCAAAAAAUUAUGCGGCCAAAAUAUAAAAACAACGAGGACCAGAUUGCACUAUACUACAAAAGCGGAAGGGCUGAAUAUGCAAAUAGCUCCUCAAAGCUAAAACGCGCAGAUCCUGGCCGCAUUCGAGUCGAUUUUCAGGUCUGAUGCAAAACGGCAUUGUUUUGGCCACUGAUGCUUAAGUCCAAAACGGCGUCGUAUUAUACCCUAUAUAAAUAGCAAAAAAAAAGAAGAAAAAAACGGUUCAACUUUCAUUUUUCUAAAAAAACAGAGAACUCUCUCAGUAUCUCUUGGUCUCUCUCUCAGCCCACCCCUUGGCCGGCCAUGGUCGCCGUCGUAGUGCUGUCGUGGCCGGUGGUCGGUGUUGCGCAAAAGGGCAUUUUUAGCCCCCGUUUCGCAGCUCCCUUGGAAGCCCAGCCCUCUCGACCCAAAAAAGCGAAAGAGGAAGACUCUCGACCCCCUCUCGGAUCCGAUGGCAACAACGGAGAAGAGCCUUCUGACGGCACGAUCACGGGGCGUCUCCGGUGAGCCCUUUCUUCCUUUUUUUAUUUUAUUAUUUUCGUAUAUAUAUAAAAAAUAAAAUAAAAAUAUGAAUAUAGAAUCAAAUAAGUAUUUAAAACAGAAAUAAAAGUAGAAAUUCACCUUGAAAGUGUUGUUUUUGUUUUUUUAUUUUCUAAUGUUCGCAAAAAAAAUUACAAGGGUGAGAUUCGGGCUUUUAUAGCCGAAUCAAAACUGUUUGUUUCUUCCUUUUUUGUCUGUUUCCUUGUUGUUUCCUCUAUUUGGCCUUUGUUGUUGCGUGUUGCCUUGGUUUUGCAAGUGUCAGAUGCGUGGAUGGUCGAAGAUAGGCGAGCCUCGAGCGGCAGCGACGACGUGCGGCGUAGGUGGUCAUGCAGCGUUGGAGGCUUAGGGGGAUAGGGUUUUUUUUGUUGCGUUUAAGUGUUUAGCUAAUUGGGCUAUAGUUAGUUUUGGGUUAUUGAGUUUUAAUUUGUAUUUGGGCUGCUAAUUUGGGUUUGUUUGUAAAAUGGAUGGAUUGUUUUAAUUAUUUUGGACUCUUUUAUUAUUUGGUUUGGGUUUUGUUU